GACGUAGGUGGCAAGCGUUGUCCGGAUUUAUUGGGUUUAAAGGGUGCGUAGGCGGCCCUGUAAGUCAGUGCUGAAAUAUCCCGGCUUAACCGGGAGGGUGGCAUUGAUACUGCAGGGCUUGAGUGAAGUCGAGGUAGGCGGAAUUGACGGUGUAGCGGUGAAAUGCUUAGAUAUCGUCAAGAACACCGAUAGUGAAGACAGCUUACUAGACUUCAACUGACGCUGAGGCACGAAAAGUGUGGGGAUCAAACAGG
rnacentral:rRNA from 1 species